rnacentral:rRNA from 1 species
GAGUUUGAUCCUGGCUCAGGACGAACGCUGGCGGCGUGCUUAACACAUGCAAGUCGAACGGAGCACCCCUGAAAGAGUUUUCGGACAAUGGAAGGGAAUGCUUAGUGGCGGACUGGUGAGUAACGCGUGAGGAACCUGCCUUCCAGAGGGGGACAACAGUUGGAAACGACUGCUAAUACCGCAUGACACAUGACCGUGGCAUCACGGACAUGUCAAAGAUUUAUCGCUGGAAGAUGGCCUCGCGUCUGAUUAGCUAGUAGGCGGGGUAACGGCCCACCUAGGCGACGAUCAGUAGCCGGACUGAGAGGUUGACCGGCCACAUUGGGACUGAGAUACGGCCCAGACUCCUACGGGAGGCAGCAGUGGGGAAUAUUGGGCAAUGGGCGCAAGCCUGACCCAGCAACGCCGCGUGAAGGAAGAAGGCUUUCGGGUUGUAAACUUCUUUUAAGGGGGAAGAGCAGAAGACGGUACCCCUUGAAUAAGCCACGGCUAACUACGUGCCAGCAGCCGCGGUAAUACGUAGGUGGCAAGCGUUGUCCGGAUUUACUGGGUGUAAAGGGCGUGCAGCCGGGACUGCAAGUCAGAUGUGAAAUCCGCGGGCUUAACCCGCGAACUGCAUUUGAAACUGCGGAUCUUGAGUACCGGAGAGGUUAUCGGAAUUCCUUGUGUAGCGGUGAAAUGCGUAGAUAUAAGGAAGAACACCAGUGGCGAAGGCGGAUAACUGGACGGCAACUGACGGUGAGGC